CUCCAUCAUAGCUUCAUCGAAAUCUUUUUCGAUGGGCUGGAAUGAUUCCAACUCAUCCGAACAAAGAUCGUUGAUCCAAAAAUAAUCUUAAUGAGUUCUCAUGAUCCAUCAGUGAUGCUUAGCAGUAUAUAGUGACAAUCCAAUAGAACAGAAGAAUAAAUUUUUAGGUAUAAUUAUCAUGUGAUACAGUCUCUCUAUCGUGAGUCCCG
rnacentral:lncRNA from 1 species